rnacentral:rRNA from 1 species
UACCAGCACCCCGAGUGGUCGGGACGAUUAUUGGGCCUAAAGCAUCCGUAGCCGGUUCUACAAGUCUUCCGUUAAAUCCACCUGCUUAACAGAUGGGCUGCGGAGGAUACUAUGGAGCUAGGAGGCGGGAGAGGCAAGCGGUACUUAGUGGGUAGGGGUAAAAUCCGUUGAUCCAUUGAAGACCACCAGUGGCGAAGGCGGCUUGCCAGAACGCACUCGACGGUGAGGGAUGAAAGCUGGGGGAGCGAACAGG